rnacentral:tRNA from 1 species
AAAUGAAAGCCAAAGUAGCGGCGCCUAGCUGUUAAUUAGGAAAAUGUAAGAUAUUACUCAUUUAG